UACGUAGGAGGCUAACGUUAUUCGGAUUUACUGGGCGUAAAGCGCGUGCAGGCGGUUCGGUAAGUUGGACGUGAAAGCUCCCGGCUCAACUGGGAGAGGUCGUUCAAUACUGCCGGGCUAGAGGAUGGUAGAGGGAGGUGGAAUUCCGGGUGUAGUGGUGAAAUGCGCAGAUAUCCGGAGGAACACCAGUGGCGAAGGCGACCUCCUGGGCCAUUCCUGACGCUCAGACGCGAAAGCUAGGGUAGCGAACGGGAUUAGAGACC
rnacentral:rRNA from 1 species